UACGUAGGGUGCGAGCGUUAAUCGGAAUUACUGGGCGUAAAGCGUGCGCAGGCGGUCUGGUAAGACCGAUGUGAAAUCCCCGGGCUUAACCUGGGAACUGCAUUGGUGACUGGCAGGCUUUGAGUGUGGCAGAGGGAGGUAGAAUUCCACGUGUAGCAGUGAAGUGCGUAGAGAUGUGGAGGAAUACCGAUGGCGAAGGCAGCCUCCUGGGCCGACAUUGACGCUGAUGAGCGAAAGCUAGGGGAGCAAACGGG
rnacentral:rRNA from 1 species